rnacentral:rRNA from 1 species
GGGACAACAGUUGGAAACGACUGCUAAUACCGCAUAAGCGCACAGCUUCGCAUGAAGCAGUGUGAAAAACUCCGGUGGUACAAGAUGGACCCGCGUCUGAUUAGCUGGUUGGUGAGGUAACGGCCCACCAAGGCGACGAUCAGUAGCCGGCCUGAGAGGGUGAACGGCCACAUUGGGACUGAGACACGGCCCAAACUCCUACGGGAGGCAGCAGUGGGGAAUAUUGCACAAUGGGGGAAACCCUGAUGCAGCAACGCCGCGUGAGUGAAGAAGUAUUUCGGUAUGUAAAGCUCUAUCAGCAGGAAAGAAAAUGACGGUACCUGACUAAGAAGCCCCGGCUAACUACGUGCCAGCAGCCGCGGUAAUACGUAGGGGGCAAGCGUUAUCCGGAUUUACUGGGUGUAAAGGGAGCGUAGACGGUUUUGCAAGUCUGAAGUGAAAGCCCGGGGCUUAACCCCGGGACUGCUUUGGAAACUGUAGAACUAGAGUGCAGGAGAGGUAAGUGGAAUUCCUAGUGUAGUGGUGAAAUGCGUAGAUAUUAGGAGGAACACCAGUGGCGAAGGCGGCUUACUGGACUGUAACUGACGUUGAGGCUCGAAAGCGUGGGGAGCAAACAGGAUUAGAUACCCUGGUAGUCCACGCCGUAAACGAUGAUUACUAGGUGUUGGUGGGUACGACCCAUCGGUGCCGCAG